rnacentral:rRNA from 1 species
UUUCCGCGUUGGCCNGUGUACAAGUCCCUUGGAACAGGGCGUCAUAGAGGGUGAGAAUCCCGUCCUUGACACAGACACCCAAUGCUUUGUGAUACACUCUCAAUGAGUCGAGUUGUUUGGGAAUGCAGCUCAAAAUGGGUGGUAAAUUCCAUCUAAAGCUAAAUACUGGCGAGAGACCGAUAGCGAACAAGUACCGUGAGGGAAAGAUGAAAAGCACUUUGGAAAGAGAGUCAAACAGUACGUGAAAUUGUUGAAAGGGAAACGAUUGAAGUCAGUCGUGCCUGCCUAGUCUCAGCCUUUUGGUGUACUACUAGGUCGGCAGGUCAGCAUCAGUUUNGGGAGGAUUAACAAGGGAGCUAGGAAUGUGGCAACCUCGGUUGUGUUAUAGCCUAGUUUCGCAUUGAUCUUGCUGGACUGAGGAACGCAGUGCGCCCGCAAGGGUUGGUCUCGGACACAUUCGCACUUAGGAUGCUGGCAUAAUGGCUUUAAACGACCCG